AAGAAAAGUGGACGAAAAAAUCUACGAAAAUUAACCAGCGAGGCUCCCCUCGACUCCCUCGACAUGCCUUUUCCUCGUUCGAUCGCCCGGUUCGCUCGGACGCAGAUAGACACCCACAUCUCCCACAUCCUCCUCUUUUCAACCCAACCCGCCUAGGGUUCCUAGCCCCACGUCCGCCGCCGCGCCAUGCUACUAUUUUCCAAGCGCCGUCGCAAUGGGCUCCAUCGCCGUACAACCCUCCUACCAAAUCGCUUGAUGCGAUGGGUCAUGCCGCAUCCCCAGGCCCCACAAGGUACACCCACCAGCACUACCAGAUCGGGCGGUGAAGAGGACGCAAUCCGCCGGCGACGAGGCGGGCGGCGCCACCACGUUCGUGCUUAAGCGCCUCCGGGUACCAGGCAUGCGCGUGAGGCAAGGCGCCUCCUGGGCUCUAUCGUCGCAUCACCAACAACCCCACGGCCGAGCAGGAGGAGUGCUUCCACGGAUUCAAAUAUAUGCAAGUAGAUGCAGGCUGCAGCACAUGCUUCCAUCACCUCCCUGUGUCGCUCGAGUCAUGGGCUCCAUCGUGUGACGCACUGCAAGGAUGUCAACCAUACUGCUGCAGGGUUCAGUGCCGUCAUCUUUGUCCGCAUCUUCCGCUCGGAUGGAGUCUCCAUCGUUAUAUGGCUGCAGAGGUAAGUUGCUCAAAUGAUUAACAUUGUGUUUGUGCUCCAGGUCUAAAGGAGGUAGAGGAGCUCCAGUUUGAUCCUAAGGAUGGUAUUGCUUUUUUUAAAAUUAAAUUACUUGUUCGUAUCGUAAUUUCAGACUGAGAAUUUUUUUUCUCAACUAUUUGCUAUCUGUUGUCCCUUCGAUGUUUUAAGUGGCCAAUUUGAGUUUGCCCGAUCACAGUUUCCACAAGCAUUGUUUGGCCUUUCAAAAGUUCUGAUAGAAAAAUUCUUACAUUCUUUCUCUUACAACCAAAAGGAGAUUCUACUUCAUGUGUUGUCUUACAAGCAACGAGGCUAGCUGUCUUGCACACACCACAAAUGAAGGUUUUGGAACUCCAUUCUCCAAUAGUAUCAGUGAAUCAAACACUCCAAUCUCUCUGAAUUCUAACCCACAACAUCUCCGACACCCUCUCGACGAGCUGCAAUUAGAUCAUAGCUGAGGAGGCGGCAAUGACCACUGAGGUUCUCUUUGUGGUUUCUGAUAUUGCGGAAGCUGAAUGACAAUAGUAAUGACUGGUGGAUCCAUGUUUGCGUUUGCUGACGACAACGAUAAUGAGUUUUUACGGCUGCACUUGAGGGUGAUCGUAUCCAUGCUACCAUUCUGCAGUAUCUUGAGAUUUCUACAGUGGAGUAGUACACAACUACCUAUCACAAGUUUGAGCUUAGAUGAACAACAUGGGCACCAUCAAACGGAUAGAUCAUGUGCCUGAUGGGUCUCAUGAUGGAGUAGUUGAUAAUGGUUAUAUACAAAACAUAUCUUGACAGAGGUGGCGCCAGACGUCACAGAGAGGUACCGCGUUCGGUCCAACGAGGAGCUCCGGGCAUGGUGGGCGGUGGCCAUGGCAUUGGCCUCAUGGGUUUACUCUGACUGCCGCCGGCCAUUCUCGCAAACAAUGGCUUAGGUUUUGAGGAGGAUUAGCAUGUCACCACAUAACAACUUUGUAAGUGUGAUGUAAUACUGGCGAAUGUAUGCAUUCACACAAUCAAAGGAUUGAAUUGUGCGAAGGAUUCAUACUCCAUAUCUUUUUACCUAUCUAGACUCUAGAUCAUAUGGGAAUAACCACAGUUGCUUACCUCAGCAAAUAGCAACAUCACUGCACUUGGUCCUUUUCUGCCCUUCAACAAGUUGGCCCCAGACAUAUCUUGCUUGCUUGCUGAUCUGGUGAUUGUUCAACACAACUGGACAUGUGUUGGAUGGUUAUUUUUUAUAUUCUGAAAGGAGAUCUUGUAUGCUGCUAUGUUCUUUCAAAUUGUGGAUAACAUUUUGAUCUAAGUGAUCUGGUUCUUCCAAUUGGUGCAUAGCAUGUUUAUUUGAAGUUCAAGCAAGCAGAGUAUGAAGUAUGAGAUAGUUCAGAUCCUCACUAAAUAUCGUGGUGAUUAAUUCCAAUUUUAGUAUCUCAUAAUGUGAUGCCCAAUUACUUUUACCUAAUAUAAUUCAUAUAUGAUUAUUUUCUGUAAUGUGUGUUCAGGGACCAUCUUUCUAAUGUUUGGUUACCAUUUUUUUGACAACUGAUUUCAGUACUAGUAAUAAUUUCUUAGAUGAUUUCCUGGAAAUUUACACUCCCAUAUUUUUGGAGUUAACAACACCAAUGAGUUAAUAUAACACUGAUAUUUUUGGUAGGUUUUUUGUCUAUCUGUUACAUACCAAAUGAGAUCAUUCACCAGCACACUCAAGCAGAAGUAGCAAUAGAAGACACAUAUGUCUGAUGUGCUCAAGAGAAUGACGUCUCUACAAUCUGGAUGUUGCCCAGAUAGCAGAGAUCAUAAAAACAGGAGAAUCAUGGGUAAGGUGCCCCUUUCAAGUCAAUCCUUCUUAGAAGGGAUGCAACAUGUUAGUAAUUGUAUAGAUGGUUCAAUUGAUUGUGAAGUGUGUGUUCAUGGAGGUGGAAGGGGGCAUUGCGAGCCGGAUUUGUCACUACUGAGGUGGCGAACAUGGACUAGGGUUGCGGAGUGCAAAUGAAGCUAAAGACAACAUAUAAUUAUUUAGAUCAUUUCUCCCUAUAUACAUGGUUGAGUUAAAUUGCGAGUGAAGUGUAUUUCAAUUAUAUUAUGAUUGUUGUAGGAUAUAUUUUUUAUACAUAUAAAAUUUUAUAUGUAUUAUAUUUACAGGUGCAAUUAAAAAAUAUCUACAAAAUUUUA